GACGAACGCUGGCGGCGUGCCUAAUACAUGCAAGUAGAACGCUGAAGAGAGGAGCUUGCUCUUCUUGGAUGAGUUGCGAACGGGUGAGUAACGCGUAGGUAACCUGCCUUGUAGCGGGGGAUAACUAUUGGAAACGAUAGCUAAUACCGCAUAACAAUGGAUGACACAUGUCAUUUAUUUGAAAGGGGCAAUUGCUCCACUACAAGAUGGACCUGCGUUGUAUUAGCUAGUAGGUGAGGUAAUGGCUCACCUAGGCGACGAUACAUAGCCGACCUGAGAGGGUGAUCGGCCACACUGGGACUGAGACACGGCCCAGACUCCUACGGGAGGCAGCAGUAGGGAAUCUUCGGCAAUGGGGGCAACCCUGACCGAGCAACGCCGCGUGAGUGAAGAAGGUUUUCGGAUCGUAAAGCUCUGUUGUAAGUCAAGAACGGGUGUGAGAGUGGAAAGUUCACACUGUGACGGUAGCUUACCAGAAAGGGACGGCUACUACGUG
rnacentral:rRNA from 1 species